GAUGAACGCUGGCGGCGUGCCUAAUACAUGCAAGUCGAGCGAACAGACGAGGCGCUUGCGGCUCUCACGUUUGCGGCGGACGGGAGUAUAACGCGUGUAUCCCCUACCUAUCAUACUGGUAUAACUUGGGAAAACCGUCUCUAAUCCCGGAUAAUAUUUUGAACCGCAUGGUUCGAUGGUAAAAUACGGUCUUGCUGUCUCUUCUCGAUGGAUCCGCGCUGCAUUAGCUAGUUGGUAAGGUAACGGCUUACCAAGGCAACGAUGCGUAGCCGACCUGAGAGGGUGAUAGGCCACACUGGAACGUAGACAGCGACCAGACUCCUACGGGAGGCAGCAGUAGGGUAUCGGACGCAAUGGUCGAAAGCCUGACGGAGCGACGCCGCGUGAGUGAUGGAGGUCUUCGGAUCGGAAAACUCGGUUAUUAGUGAUGAACAGAUGUGUAAGGAACUGUGCACUGCUUGACGGUACCUAAUCAGAAAGCCACGGCUAACUACGUG
rnacentral:rRNA from 1 species